rnacentral:rRNA from 1 species
UGGGGAAUUUUGGACAAUGGGCGAAAGCCUGAUCCAGCAAUGCCGCGUGUGUGAAGAAGACCUUCGGGUUGUAAAGCACUUUUGUCCGGAAAGAAAUCCUUGGCUCUAAUACAGUCGGGGGAUGACGGUACCGGAAGAAUAAGCACCGGCUAACUACGUGCCAGCAGCCGCGGUAAUACGUAGGGUGCAAGCGUUAAUCGGAAUUACUGGGCGUAAAGCGUGCGCAGGCGGUUUGCUAAGACCGAUGUGAAAUCCCCGGGCUCAACCUGGGAACUGCAUUGGUGACUGGCAGGCUAGAGUAUGGCAGAGGGGGGUAGAAUUCCACGUGUAGCAGUGAAAUGCGUAGAGAUGUGGAGGAAUACCGAUGGCGAAGGCAGCCCCCUGGGCCAAUACUGACGCUCAUGCACGAAAGCGUGGGGAGCAAACAGGAUUAGAUACCCUGGUAGUCCACGCCCUAAACGAUGUCAACUAGUUGUUGGGGAUUCAUUUCCUUAGUAACGUAGCUAACGCGUGAAGUUGACCGCCUGGGGAGUACGGUCGCAAGAUU